UCUCAUGCAUGAGUAAAGACAGUGGUUUCUUGAGAUGGAAUCUAUUCCUGGCGAAGAUAUUGUGAA
rnacentral:pre_miRNA from 1 species